rnacentral:tRNA from 1 species
UUAGUAGUUUAAAUUAAAAUAUUGGUCUUGUAAACCAAAGUUAAAUUUAUUUCUAAAACAUC